AGAGUUUGAUNUGGCUCAGAUUGAACGCUGGCGGCAUGCCUUACACAUGCAAGUCGAACGGCAGCACGGGGGCAACCCUGGUGGCGAGUGGCGAACGGGUGAGUAAUAUAUCGGAACGUACCAUUGAGUGGGGGAUAACGUAGCGAAAGUUACGCUAAUACCGCAUACGAUCUACGGAUGAAAGCGGGGGAUCCGCAAGGACCUCGCGCUCAUUGAGCGGCCGAUAUCUGAUUAGCUAGUUGGUAGGGUAAAAGCCUACCAAGGCAUCGAUCAGUAGCUGGUCUGAGAGGACGACCAGCCACACUGGAACUGAGACACGGUCCAGACUCCUACGGGAGGCAGCAGUGGGGAAUUUUGGACAAUGGGCGAAAGCCUGAUCCAGCAAUGCCGCGUGAGUGAAGAAGGCCUUCGGGUUGUAAAGCUCUUUUGUCAGGGAAGAAACGGUGGACUCUAAUACAGGCCACUAAUGACGGUACCUGAAGAAUAAGCACCGGCUAACUACGUGCCAGCAGCCGCGGUAAUACGUAGGGUGCAAGCGUUAAUCGGAAUUACUGGGCGUAAAGCGUGCGCAGGCGGUUUUGUAAGUCUGACGUGAAAUCCCCGGGCUCAACCUGGGAAUUGCGUUGGAGACUGCAAGGCUAGAGUUUGGCAGAGGGGGGUAGAAUUCCACGUGUAGCAGUGAAAUGCGUAGAUAUGUGGAGGAACACCGAUGGCGAAGGCAGCCCCCUGGGUCAAGACUGACGCUCAUGCACGAAAGCGUGGGGAGCAAACAGGAUUAGAUACCCUGGUAGUCCACGCCCUAAACGAUGUCUACUAGUUGUCGGGUCUUAAUUGACUUGGUAACGCAGCUAACGCGUGAAGUAGACCGCCUGGGGAGUACGGUCGCAAGAUUAAAACUC
rnacentral:rRNA from 1 species